rnacentral:tRNA from 1 species
GCGGAGAUCGUAUAGUGUUUAUUACAGACCUCUUCCUGAGGUAAGACGUUGGUUUAAAUCCAACUCUCCGCUCCA